rnacentral:rRNA from 1 species
UACGGAGGGUGCGAGCGUUAAUCGGAAUUACUGGGCGUAAAGGGUGCGUAGGUGGUUUAUUAAGUUAUCUGUGAAAUCCCUGGGCUCAACCUGGGCAGGUCAGAUAAGACUGGUAGACUCGAGUAUGGGAGAGGGCAGUGGAAUUUCCGGUGUAGCGGUGAAAUGCGUAGAGAUCGGAAGGAACACCAGUGGCGAAGGCGGCUGCCUGGCCUAAUACUGACACUGAGGCACGAAAGCGUGGGGAGCAAACAGG